ACAAGAAAACAAGCACGAGUAUUAGUGUUUUUAAUUCAGCAAAUCCGACUGUUUUCUUACCGUCAUGUGCUUUACGAAAGAAAUACUUGACGUAAUCUGAAUAAAGAACUUGUUUGUAAAUUGGUUUCUCACCACUUGCAACCAAUUCAGGU